GUGUGAGAGACCCGUCCCGGUGGGAGGGACCUGGGCUGGGGGGGACGGCAGGGGAACAAGGGGGUGGGACUGGGGAAGCUUCUGGGAACAUUUGCUCUAGGGAUUCAGCUAAACUAAGAAAAAUUGGUCCAAGGCUCGGCACAAAAGGAUCUUUUCAUUCCAGUCCUUUCGCCCACGCAGGGAACGAUGCCUCUGGAGGUGGUGGUGGAGCUGCAGAUCCGGGCGAUUUCUUGCCCAGGAGUGUUCCUGCCUGGCAAACAAGAUGUGUACCUCGGGGUCUACCUCAUGAAUCAGUACCUGGAGACAAACAGCUUUCCCUCUGCGUUCCCCAUUAUGAUUCAGGAGAGCAUGAGAUUUGAAAAGUGUGGGAUGAGUUGGCCUACUAUGAAGAAAACACAAGAGAUUUUCUUUUUCCAGAGCCCAAGCUGACACCUUCACACCCUAGGAGGUGUAGGGAGGUGCUCAUGAAGACGGCUCUGGGUUUUCCA
rnacentral:sRNA from 1 species